GACGAACGCUGGCGGCGUGCUUAACACAUGCAAGUCGAACGGUGAAGCGCCUUCCUUGUUGGUUGGUGUGGAUGAGUGGCGAACGGGUGAGUAACACUUGAGUAACCUGCCCCCUUCUUCUGGAUAACCGCAUGAAAGUGUGGCUAAUACGGGAUAUUCUGGGUCUGUCGGAGGAUGGGUCUGUGAAAGAUAUUGUGUCGGUGGGGGAUGGGCUCGCGGCCUAUCAGCUUGUUGGUGGGGUGAUGGCCUACGAAGGCGGGGACGGGUAGCCGGCCUGAGAGGGUGGCCGGUCUCACAGGGACUGCGGCACCGCCGAGACUGCUACGCGCGGCAGACGUGGGGAGUAGUGAGCAGUGGGGGAUAGCCUGAUGCAGCGGCGCCGCGGAAGGGGUGGCGGCGUUCGGGUUGUGACCCUCUUUCGCCAGUGAAGCAGGCCUGCCUCGUUUGUGGGUGGGUUGACGGUAGCUGGAUAAGAAGCGCCGGCUAACUACGUG
rnacentral:rRNA from 1 species